CAGCCGCCACGGUAAUACGGAGGGUGCAAGCGUUAAUCGGAAUUACUGGGCGUAAAGCGCACGCAGGCGGUCUGUCAAGUCAGAUGUGAAAUCCCCGGGCUUAACCUGGGAACUGCAUUUGAAACUGGCAGGCUAGAGUCUUGUAGAGGGGGGUAGAAUUCCAGGUGUAGCGGUGAAAUGCGUAGAGAUCUGGAGGAAUACCGGUGGCGAAGGCGGCCCCCUGGACAAAGACUGACGCUCAGGUGCGAAAGCGUGGGGAGCAAACAGGAUUAGAUACCCGCGUAGUCCCUGUCUCUUAUAA
rnacentral:rRNA from 1 species